rnacentral:ncRNA from 2 species
AUUAUAUCCGAAUGAUAGCCUCAUAUAACUGUGGGAAUAAGGCCUACGAGUUUCUACCAGGUAGCCGUAAACUACCUGACUAUGAGGGAAGUGUACCUAGGG